rnacentral:tRNA from 1 species
GGCCCGUUGGUCAAGUGGUUAAGACACCGCCCUUUCACGGCGGUAACAUGGGU